rnacentral:lncRNA from 1 species
GCUGUUGUCAACUAUUUCAACAACCCUAACUGGAAAACAGAAACAGAACUGAAAUUUCAGUGAAAGCCUGAACUACCUAAAAAUACAUUGAAGCCUUGUUUUUCUUUCUCGACAUGAAGGGACUGAUGAGUGGAACCACAACGCUGACUCUGAUGGAAAGGAGAACAGGAUGUGGGACUAAUUGUCUUUCUUCCUUCCUUAGCUCCAGCCACUCUGUCAUUACCCUGGCUAUCCCUUUCUCUGGGCUCAGAUUUCAGCAAUGUGCACAUCUACAACAUUUAUGGAAGAUUUUCACAGUGUAAUUCUCCUUGAUCUCAAGCCCUACGGUUCAUCCAUAUCAUGUUGCACUCAAGGAUCCUGCCAGCAGUGGGCAUCAAGAAAUACAGUAAUAACCACCAUCUUGUUACUUGAAGAUAUGAUGAUAAUUAUUUUAAAAAUCAUAAGAAAUGCUUUCCUUGCCCUACAGGUGAUGAGAUUAUACCUAUAUUUGAGUAAUUUAUUCCAUCCAUGCUUAAAAAUUAAGUCAAGCUUACCAUCAAAUUCUAGAUAUUUCUAUGUUCGUAGCUUUGUCUAUGACAUGAAUUCUGUGAACCAAGUAAAUUCAAUACAAUCUAUUGUGGAGAUUGCUGAAGUUGAAUGUAGAUUUUCCCAAGAAUUACAUCAUUUAUUUUAAUUUAGAGGAGUUUCUGACUUUUUUGUGGGGCUGGGUGUUUUUGUUGGG